UACGUAGGGUGCGAGCGUUGUCCGGAAUUAUUGGGCGUAAAGAGCUUGUAGGCGGUUUGUCGCGUCUGCCUGUGAAAAUCCGGGGCUCAACCCCGGACUUGCAGUGGGUACGGGCAGACUAGAGUGGUGGUAGGGGAGACUGGAAUUCCUGGUGUAGCGGUGGAAUGCGCAGAUAUCAGGAGGAACACCGGUGGCGAAGGCGGGUCUCUGGGCCGAUACUGA
rnacentral:rRNA from 1 species